UCGCCUGUUUACCAAAAACAUGGCUUCGCGUUAUUGUCAAAAUACGAAGUCGGACCUGCCCAGUGAGUUUUAAACGGCCGCGGUACUCUGACCGUGCAAAGGUAGCAUAAUCAUUUGCCUUAUAAUUGAAGGCUGGAAUGAAUGGUUUGACAAGAAUAUAUCUGUCUCUUUUAGACUACUUAGAACUUUAUUUUUGGAUGAAAAAGUCCAGAUAUGAUUAAAAGACAAGAAGACCCUAUCGAGCUUUAGAAAAAUUAAUAGACCUAAUACGUUCUAAUAUUGAUAAAAGAAGAGCUAUUAAAUACUUUGAUUGGGGCAAUCAAGGAGCAACUAAAGCCUCCUUUAAUAGUGCCUAAUACUUACCUGCAUUUGAUCCAAAAAUUUUGAUUAAAGAAAUUAGUUACCGUAGGGAUAACAGCAUUAUCUUUUUUAAGAGCCCAUAUCGAAAAAAAGGUUUGUGACCUCGAUGUUGGACCAGAAUAUCCUGAAGAUGCAGAAGUCUUUAAGGGUUGGUCUGUUCGACCAUUAAAAUUCUACGUGAUCUGAGUUCAGACCGG
rnacentral:rRNA from 1 species